rnacentral:rRNA from 1 species
UACGUAGGGUGCAAGCGUUGUCCGGAAUUAUUGGGCGUAAAGAGCUCGUAGGCGGUUUGUUGCGUCGGCUGUGAAAUCCCGAGGCUCAACCUCGGGUCUGCAGUCGAUACGAGCAAACUAGAGUGUUGCAGGGGAGACUGGAAUUCCUGGUGUAGCGGUGAAAUGCGUAGAGAUCGGGAGGAACACCCGUGGCGAAGGCGGCUCACUGGGCUGACCUUGACGCUGAGGCGCGAAGGCGUGGGGAGCGAACGGG